rnacentral:lncRNA from 1 species
CCAUCAGUGCAUGAUGUGAAGAGAUGGGGCUUUGGGGUUUGGGGUGUUAUUGGGCAUGGCAGGGGAGCCAGAGGGCAUGAGGGAACAUACCCAGGGGUGUGCUUUCUUCUGUGGAUCAGUCUGCGCAGGAAGUCUCUGUGAUGACCAGGUCUCACCGUCCAGAUCUGCAGGCAGCUCAGCCUUCAGAACCGUGACAGAGCCAAGUGAUUGUUGGGAGCAGAGGAAUGGGAGAAAGCCAGAAAUCCAUUGAAAGAUACUUUUAAUCCACUUAGGAAUACUUACGUAAAUACAUCUUGAAAACUUAAACUGGAAAUAAGCUUACACCAGAAUGAAACCAGUAGGCUGUGCAGGGGCUGGCUGUGGUCAGGACUCAGCAGGUGAAGGUGCCUGCUGCCCAGCCUGAUGAUCCGAGUCCACUUUCUGGAAUCUCCAUGGUUGACUGCCUCCAAGAGGUACAGUAUACACUUAUCAAGUAAUGGUACGGUUUACUGCUUAGCUAGCCAAUCCUGGAGCCCUGGAU